CCCUUUGGGCUGGACUUUGGGCUUUUACACUUUGCAAACCUGUUACAUGCACAAAAAAGAUAUAUAACUCAAUAAAGGAGGGGGAAAAAGCCAAAAAGCAUAAUACCACCUCUUUAACACCGGAAAGGAUUUGACCGAUUCGAAGUUUUGGCGCCAAAUAUUGCUGAAAUAUGAAGGGGGCGUGGCGUGAGCAAGGGCGCGACUGGAGGAGCUUGACGUCACCAUUGGAGCUUGGCUGAAUUCAGCGCCGACAAAACGUAGCAAAACAUAUGUUUUUAAACAGAAACAGUGGUGCCUUGAACACACAGUUGUGUAGGCUUACUGCAUUUUUAACCACGGCUGUGUUUACAAACGUAUUGCAGCUGAACACCUCUGACACGCCCACCAAACGGGGAAGCUCGUUGCGCAGCAUUGAUCAUAUUUGAUCCUCUAUGAUCUGAUCAUAGGCUGUGGAUCUGAUCCACUAAAUCCCCCAAAUAGUAGGCUAUGAAGAAGAAGAAGCAGCAGCAGCAGCAGCAGCAGCAGCUGGGAGGUAGUUAGGAGUAUAGAGUGCUGCUGAAGGAAUUUCAUCUUGCCCAUCAUCACCUGACUUGCAAAAGCAGCUCUGAUAUUGGUGUUUGCUGAGUUCCAUGACUUUACAAAUGUUGAACCUAUGUAACCAAUUCUACUGCAAGCUUGAGAGAUACACACCACAACUGAUUGCCCUGUACAGUCAGAAGGCCAAGACAGUAGAGGCUCUGCAGAGAGCUUAAGGAUUCAUGACUUUCGGGAACAACAUGAGGGAGACAUGAGAUGCCGUCCAACCCUCCAUGCCCUCACAGUGGACCUGCUAGAGGAUGACUGACUUCUUCAAAACCUGCAAUUGAAGUACUCAGUGUACUCACAGAAAUGUCAAUAUCAACGACAAGUAAUAUAUAAUGUACUACGGGUAACCAACUUGAAUGCCUCUUCCAGCAACUGACAGGUUUAAAGAGAUUAGGGCUGAAAUGAUUCAUCGAUUAAUUCAAUUACUAAAAAGUAUUGACGCAAAUUCUUUGUAUCUUCUUCCAGCACUGCCAAGCAAUCUGUAGAAGCUUCAAUUAUAAAAAUCAUCGUUAGCUGCAGCCCUAAAAGAGAUUAAAGGAUAGGUUUGUGUUUUUUGUACUCUAUCUCAGAACAAUGCUAAAAUAUGAUGUAAAAUAUGUGAUGUGUUUCCACCCAAGUGAAAGGUGGCUGUGGAUGGAUUUGUCUGUUUCUCUGGGGGUGGUGAUGGAGCAUAAGACACAUGCCUUUGGUGUGAGAGAAUUCCCCCCUGUGACACUUCCACCAAUGUGUCCCUGAGCAGGACACUUUACCCCUAGUUGCUCCAGGUGCAACCUCUGACAUAUAUAGCUAUUGUAAGUAACUUUGGAUAAAAGCGUCAGCUAAAUGAAUAAAUGUAACUCAUGUACAAACUUCUGAACUGUCCGUCUAUGUUUACUGCAAGCUUACAGUGAAGGAUAUUCAAAACAAAGGUCAGUGUUCUUUUUUAUAUUGUUCCAUUACCUCGUCUACCUGACUUAACAAUUUGCAUAGUUAUUUUAAACAAUAUUUAUUAGCUAUCUUUAUUUUCUUAUGAUUCCAUAAAGUUGAAUUUCUUUUGUUCAUUUAUUUUAAUUUAUUGGUCAUUUUUUUUCGAACUCCGCAUUUAAAGCUCCUUUUUAUAUUAUUUAAGUAAAAGUGCUGCUGAUGGAAUAAAAUUAUGCAUAGUUGCAUUUUCCACAAAACACAGUAAAGUAAGUAGUAAAAGGAAAUUUUGUUUAGCUCAGACGACUUUGCUCAAGAGAUUGAAGUUAUUAUCACUUAACACCAAAAAAUCUCGUUAAGAAUCUGGAAAUAGAGAAUGUUCAACAUUAUUGCAACAACAAACGAAGACAAAUUGAUUAUCAUAAUUGUUGCUGGUUAAUUAUCUGAUCAAGCAGUCAGCUUUAUGCAAGAUGUGCCCUAUUUUGUGUCCGUUAAAUGUAGAAUUGA